AUAACGACUCUGGGCAACGGAUAUCUCGGCUCACGCAUCGAUGAAGAACGUAGCAAAAUGCGAUACUUGGUGUGAAUUGCAGAAUCCCGUGAACCAUCGAGUUUUUGAACGCAAGUUGCGCCCGAAGCCAUCUGGUUGAGGGCACGUCUGCCUGGGCGUCACGC
rnacentral:rRNA from 1 species